UUUCGGUUAUUAAAAAUAUUGCAAUUGCCAAAGAAAGUAAAAUAAAAUAAAAAAAUGCAAGGCGAAAAAGUUAAUUCACAGGAGUCAAAUAACUUGCCAGUGACGACAUUUCAGUCGGAUGAUCUGCUGGAAAAGCUAAAAAUGCUGAAUUACGAGAAGCAACUAUUGAAUGAAUACAAAAUGAAGCCGCUCUCGCGUUUCUACUUUGUCAAAUCUUUUAAUCCAGGCGAACAGUUUUUCAUGUUUACGCUGAUUUGCUGGUGGCUGUGUCGAAAGCUGGGCAAAGAGAUGGAUCGGCCGCAGGAAUUCGAUGACCCCAACACAGUGAUUGCCAAAAUAGUUCAAAUGCUGGAGGAAAUGGAUGUGCCAGUGGAUUUCGCUACCAACAAGCUCAUACGCGGCGCCGGUCCCAUUUGCUUGAACGUUUUGGAUAUACUCGCCACGCAAGCCACCAAAGUGGCACAGAUAGCCUACAAUCGGCCGCACAUAGCACAGGAGGAUGAGGUUGCGACAGAUUACUUGGAGGAUAAUGCGGAAAUCAUAUUGGAAAAGUUGGAAGAUGAACAAAAUGCCGCCCUGAGUGAUGAUAGCGAUAUGGAAGUGAAUGGUGGUGGCGCUUUCAAAAAUCUCAACUGGGUAAAUCGUACAAGGCGCGCAGAUCGCAAUCACAACAUCGAUUUGCCUGACAAUAACGCGGCCACGGAGCGCUUUACGGAUCAGCAGCAAUGGCGGCAGGAGUUCGAGCGUGUGCUGCCGCAACUGAAGGUUUACGUGAAAGCCGAUGCACGCGAUUGGCGCACACACUUCAGCCAAAUUGAGACACUGAAGGCCAGCAUAGAUGAGUGCUCUGAGGACACACAAUCGCAAUUGAAAAAGUUGCACAGUGAAUUCACCUUCAGUCUGGAGAAGAUCGAAAGUCGGGAGAAGCAUUUGAAUAAUGAGCUGCAGUCAUUCAUACGGCAAUUCAAGGAAAUCUCCAUUGAGCUGUCCAAUGUUCAGCAUGCACAAACGCAAGUGCAGACUGACACCGAGGCGCUUAUGACGCAAUUGAAUUCCGUUAUACAAGAGAAUGACAUUAAGAAGAGUGAAAUGGAGCGACGCGGUCAAUCCAUGUCCGAUGGCAGUUCUGUGGUAAAUAUCAAGAAGGCGAUAAAUAAGCUCAAAGAGGAUACGGCACACUUACAUUUGGAGGUGGCGCUGUUGGUGCAUGGCAUCGAUCAGGACAUUAUGCGUCAGGCAGGGAGUUUCACUGAAACAGAUUCCGGCUAUGAGACAACAACAGUGAAGACCUUUUAGAGCGAGAAUUUUAAUAUUACUUAUUUAUUAUUUUGGAUUUUGGAUAUAUUGGAAAACAUUUUUUAUAUAUGUACAUACAAACAUAUAUUUCCGUCAUAAAAGAAUCAGCCCACCAACGCCAACGAAAACGCCUACAUACAACCACACACACCACACCACACCAACAGCAACAGCAACAGUCGCAUGCACGAG